rnacentral:rRNA from 1 species
CCCCUUAGAUGUUCUGGGCAGCACGCGCGCUACAAUGGUCUUCGCAAACGGAUGCAUUCUCGAAGGAGAAUGCCAAUCUUGGAAUCUAUGCCUUGGUCGGGACAGUUGCUUGCAAUUUUUCGACUCGAACCAGGAAUUCCUUGUAAUCGUGAUUCAUCACAUCACGAUGAAUACGUCCCUGCCCUUUGUACACACCGCCCGUCGCUCCUACCGAUCGAAGAGUUAGGUGAAUUGUUUUGAUCGAUAAGAUUUGACUAUGGUCAACUCUCGUUGUGAAAUUCUGUGAAUCUGACUGUUUAGAGGAAGGAAAAGUCGUAACA